UACGAAGGGGACUAGCGUUGUUCGGAUUUACUGGGCGUAAAGCGCGCGUAGGCGGAUCACUAAGUCAGGGGUGAAAUCCCGAGGCUUAACCUCGGAACUGCCUUUGAUACUGAUGAUCUGGAGAUUGGGAGAGGUUGGUGGAAUUCCGAGUGUAGAGGUGAAAUUCGUAGAUAUUCGGAGGAACACCAGAAGCGAAGGCGGCCAACUGGCCCAAUACUGACGCUGAGGCGCGAAAGCGUGGGGAGCAAACAGG
rnacentral:rRNA from 1 species